UAUACCCUGCAAUGUGCGUGAACAAGCCGAUAUGUUUUGAGCCAACACUAUUUUAAAGGGAACCUGACUCUAGAUGUAGCCUAUAUGCCUCCUGGACCGAGGACAUAGAAAGCAUUUAGGAAGGUACCCACCUGCCGGGGGCAGGUUCAAAACAUCGGCCACACGGCAUCUGUGGGGUUGUU
rnacentral:other from 1 species